UAUAAUUCAAUGAAAAAGAAAGUAACAUAAAUACAAGUUACAGCGAGCUGAGUAUGGUGCGAGUCAGCAACGGAGUUUAUUGUGAAAAGAGCUUUGGAGAAGACUAUCUGAAUAUAGUAGGAUAGUAGGUAGCCUGCCUUAAAGGUUUGAGUGGAUAAUUAUUAUUUUAUAAUUAUCAAGAAGAGUGGUAACGCGGUAAUUCGUCUCUUAG
rnacentral:ncRNA from 1 species